rnacentral:misc_RNA from 1 species
AACACAGGCUCAGUACUUAGAAAAACUCUUUGAAAGCAAAAAAAAACUCUUUGAAAGCUCACCAAAAAUGUCAAGUGUCAAAUGGCUUGUUGAAUCAGGAUAUCUCAAGAAGCUUCCUUCCAAAUAUGCCUAUGAAAAAAAUCCUGAGGAUCGCAUAUCUGAAGAUGAAGAGACAAUCCCAACCAUAGACUACUCCCUUCUCACCCAUGGUACUCCUAUCCAACGUUUCAAGGUUAUCCAAGACCUUGGCAAUGCCUGCCAGGAAUGGGGAUUCUUCAUGGUGAUCAAUCAUGGAGUGCCCAAAAAGUUAAGAGAUGAAAUGAUAAACUCCACUGAGACAUUCUUUAACCUAACGGAGGAGGAAAAGCAAGAGUACAGGGGAAAUGAAUUAUUAGAUCCCAUAAAGUGUGGUACAAGCUUCAAUGUGAGGGUAGACAAGCCAUUAAUGUGGAGGGAUUAUCUUAAGAUUCUUGUCCAUCCCCAUUUUGUCUCUCCUCAUAAGCCUGCGGGCUUCAGGUAUACAAAUUGUUUCUAUAUAUCAACAGCUUGCAUUCCUAGCACUAGGCUUUUGGAUUUCAAAUGCAAAUAAGUAGGAUACAUAGGAACUACAAACAACAUAUAUGGGAGAAGAAAAUUAAAACCAAUAAAGUUAUUAAAAUUGGAUCAUUAUAUCGUUUCAUAUAUAGUUUGAUCCUUAAUUAAUUAGUAGCUAGGGAUUUCAUAUAAGGCCAAGGUUUGCUUCUUGCAUACAUUGGGGUAUGUUAUAUCCUAAUCUCUUGGUUUAUCGAGUGCACAGUGAAGUUCUACAAGAGUAUUGCAAAAGAAGUCGAGAAGUGGCUAAUGAAUUGCUUGAAGGCAUUUCGAAAAGCCUAGGAUUGGAAGAAAACUACAUAACGAAGAGAAUGGAAGUGGAAGUGGGAUCUCAGAUGUUUGUUGCAAAUCUUUACCCACCAUGCCCACAGCCAGAAAUCGCAAUGGGGCUGCCCCCUCAUUCCGAUUAUGGCCUCCUGACUCUCCUCAUCCAGAACCACCUUGGAGGCCUCCAAGUCAUGCACAAGGGAAAGUGGGUUCCUAUCAAUCCCCUGCCUGACUCUAUCAUAAUCAACAUCGGUGAUCAUAUGGAGGUAACUUUUCUCGGUGAUGGAAUUGUCAAUGUUUGAACUCUUGAAAAUAUUAUUAAUGGUAAUCUAUAAUAUAACUAAAUUUUUCGUUAAAGCUUUUAUUAUAGGUUGACACAAUAUUCAAUCUCUAGUUUUGUGUUAGACUCAUGUCUCUUAAUCAUAAUUGCAUCCUGACGACUUUUUAAUUUAUUUAUUUCACUCGUAUAUUUUAUUUUAUAAUUGUUAUAUAAAUUUAAUUUUUCUAACUCUAAUAAAAUAAAUCAUUGCAUUUAAUCUGUUAUGUAUAACACAGUGUGCGAUUAAGAUAUGAUCCAAAUCAUUGGAAAAAAAAAAAGUCUGCGAAACAGCGCAAAAUUAACAGCUAAAGGGGCAAUGCAAAGUCAAAAACAUACCACAACAAGUAACUUGUAAUUGUGACACUGCAGAUACUUACCAACGGGAAGUACAAGAGCGUAGUGCAUAGAGCCGUGGUAAAUGGCAAUGGAACAAGGAUUUCCAUAGGAACAGCCCACGGCCCACCACUCGAAACCAUUGUGAGUCCUGCACCAGAGUUGGCUAAUCUUCCACCCCCAGCAUAUCGUGGAAUCAAGUUCAGGGAGUACGUGGAGCUUCAACAGAGCAGUCAACUCAUGGGAAAAAGCUGCCUGGACCGUAUUCGAAUAUGAAUAUCAAAAUCUUCUUGCGUUGCCUGGCCCAUUAUGUAUUUUGCAUUUCUUGCCCAAAUUAUUGAUGCCAGGCAUCGAUUAUGCCAAUUAAUAAAAGAAUUAUUUACUUUUAUUUAUAAAAUAUAAUACCAAACUCCCUCCCUUAAAAAAAUAAUAAUAAAAUAAAAUUAAGUCUAAUUUUUCAAUAUAAGGGAUGAAAAUUUAUUUGAAUUCAAUUCCCAACUUGCUUUGGCUGGACUGAAAAAUGAACAUGUUUAUUGAUUAUGAGAAAUGCGAA